AGUGAACGCUGGCGGCAGGCCUAAUACAUGCAAGUCGAGCGACAGCACAGUAAGGUCUUGCUCUUACGGGUGGCGAGGGGCGGACGAGUGAGGCAUACAUCGGCAACCAAUUAUUCUUGGGGGACAACGGGGAACCACUUCCGCUACUAGCGCAUACGAUCUACCGGAGGAAUCAAGAGAUCUUCGCACCUUUGGCGUCUCAUUUAGACGGUGUCGGAUUAGCUAGUUGGCGGGGUAAAGGCCCACCAAGGCGACGAUACGUAGCUGGCCUGAGAGGAUGAUCGGCCACACUGGAACUGAGACACGGUCCAGACUCCUACGGGAGGCAGCAGUAGGGAAUAUUGCGCAAUGGGCGAAAGCCUGAUCCAGCCAUGCCGCGUGGGUGAAGAAGGUCUUCGGGUCGUAAAGCUCUUUUAUUGGGGAAGAACAAAAGCAGAUGUAUAUAUGCACGUUUUGACGGUACCCAAUCAGAAAGCAACGGCUAACUUCGUG
rnacentral:rRNA from 1 species